rnacentral:rRNA from 1 species
CAUGCAAGUCGAGCGAGGCCCUUCGGGGCCUAGCGGCGGACGGGUGAGUAACACGUGGGUAACCUGCCUGUAAGACCGGGAUAACUUCGGGAAACCGAAGCUAAUACCGGAUAAUUUCGAGCGUCGCAUGAUGCUUGAUGGAAAGACGGCUUCGGCUGUCACUUACAGAUGGACCCGCGUCGCAUUAGCUAGUUGGUGAGGUAAAGGCUCACCAAGGCUUUGAUCGGUAGCCGGCCUGAGAGGGCACACGGCCACACUGGCACUGAAACACGGGCCAGACUCCUACGGGAGGCAGCAGUGGGGAAUCUUGCACAAUGGGGGAAACCCUGAUGCAGCGACGCCGCGUGAGCGAUGAAGCCCUUCGGGGUGUAAAGCUCUUUCGGCAGGGACGAUAAUGACGGUACCUGAAGAAGAAGCUGCGGCUAACUACGUGCCAGCAGCCGCGGUAAUACGUAGGCAGCGAGCGUUGUUCGGAGUUACUGGGCGUAAAGAGUGCGUAGGCGGUUUUCUAAGUUUGGUGUGAAAUCUCCCGGCUUAACUGGGAGGGUGCGCCGAAGACUGGAAGGCUUGAGUAUGGGAGAGGUAAGCGGAAUUCCUGGUGUAGCGGUGAAAUGCGUAGAUAUCANGAGGAACACCUGCGGUGUAGACGGCUUACUGGACCAUAACUGACGCUGA